UUUCUUUGGAAAUAAGUGUUUAUUUAAUCGUAAAAAUUAAUUCGCACAAUGAACAUUAUUUAUAAAAUAUAUAGAAACAGAACGAACAUUUAAUUUCUAUAGUGUCAUAUUGAACAUUUAUAUAUAAGGUAAUACACGUAAGCGCCCAGCGUACGGCUCGAACCCACGGCCCCGAGAUUAAGAGUCUCGUGCUCUACCGACUGCGGGGCUGCAUAUUUAAUAAUUUUUAAAUCAGUAUUGUCCCCAACCCCGCCAAAUUCACUUUAAUAGUCAACACAGUUCGAUAUGUUAUUGAUUUUAAUCCAGUUCUAAUCAUAGAACAGAACUAUUUUCACUCGUGCCUGAUGAUAACUCGUGAAUGCCAAUCGAUAAUCAACCGAAAUAAUAAAAUAUCGUCUUAAUCUAUACCUAACUUGCUCAAACAGGAUCUGCACAAUGAGGCGUCCUGUAGUACUGCCACUGAACAAGACGACUAUCUAUUAAGCCUUAUAGUAAAGUUAGGAGAUCGUAACCAUAUAACAACACGGCAAAGUCAUACACCGGGAGGUGACAUUCAAGCCCAUGAAAGGAGUUUGAGGUCAUAACAGUGAUCGCAUUGCGUGUCCGUCAUUCAACCCCAUUCGUGUGCGAAUGUAUCUGA